GGGGGGGGGGGGGGGGGGGGGGGGGAGGGGGGAGGCGGGCGGAGGGAGGAGGGGCUGGCUCGGCGGGCGGUAGCGGCGGGCGGGUGAGUAACAGGUGGGUAACCGACCGAUAAGACUGGGGUCGCUUCGGGGAACCGGAGCUAAUACCGGAUAAUAUAUUGCACCGCCUGGUUCAAUAGGGAACGACGGCUUUGCUGUCACUUAGAGAUGGGUCCGCGCCGCUUUAGCUAGUUGGUAAGGUAACGGCUUACCAAGGCAACGAUGCGUAGCCGACCUGAGAGGGUGAUCGGCCACACUUGAACUGAGAAACGGUCCAGACUCCUACGGGAGGCAGCAGUAGGGAAUCUUCCGCAAUGGGCGAAAGCCUGACGGAGCAGCGCCGCGUGAGUGAUGAAGGUCUUCGGAUCGUAAAACUCUGUUAUUAGGGAAGAACAAAUGUGUAAGUAACUAUGCACGUCUUGACGGUACCUAAUCAGAAAGCCACGGCUAACUACGUG
rnacentral:rRNA from 1 species